CCUGGCUCACGAUUAACGCUAGCUACAGGCUUAACACAUGCAAGUCGAGGGGCAGCAUGGUCUUAGCUUGCUAAGGCCGAUGGCGACCGGCGCACGGGUGAGUAACACGUAUCCAACCUGCCGUCUACUCUUGGACAGCCUUCUGAAAGGAAGAUUAAUACAAGAUGGCAUCAUGAGUCCGCAUGUUCACAUGAUUAAAGGUAUUCCGGUAGACGAUGGGGAUGCGUUCCAUUAGAUAGUAGGCGGGGUAACGGCCCACCUAGUCUUCGAUGGAUAGGGGUUCUGAGAGGAAGGUCCCCCACAUUGGAACUGAGACACGGUCCAAACUCCUACGGGAGGCAGCAGUGAGGAAUAUUGGUCAAUGGGCGAGAGCCUGAACCAGCCAAGUAGCGUGAAGGAUGACUGCCCUAUGGGUUGUAAACUUCUUUUAUAAAGGAAUAAAGUCGGGUAUGCAUACCCGUUUGCAUGUACUUUAUGAAUAAGGAUCGGCUAACUCCGUGCCAGCAGCCGCGGUAAUACGGAGGAUCCGAGCGUUAUCCGGAUUUAUUGGGUUUAAAGGGAGCGUAGAUGGAUGUUUAAGUCAGUUGUGAAAGUUUGCGGCUCAACCGUAAAAUUGCAGUUGAUACUGGAUAUCUUGAGUGCAGUUGAGGCAGGCGGAAUUCGUGGUGUAGCGGUGAAAUGCUUAGAUAUCACGAAGAACUCCGAUUGCGAAGGCAGCCUGCUAAGCUGCAACUGACAUUGAGGCUCGAAAGUGUGGGUAUCAAACAGGAUUAGAUACCCUGGUAGUCCACACGGUAAACGAUGAAUACUCGCUGUUUGCGAUAUACAGCAAGCGGCCAAGCGAAAGCGUUAAGUAUUCCACCUGGGGAGUACGCCGGCAACGGUGAAACUCAAAGGAAUUGACGGGGGCCCGCACAAGCGGAGGAACAUGUGGUUUAAUUCGAUGAUACGCGAGGAACCUUACCCGGGCUUAAAUUGCAGAUGAAUUACGGUGAAAGCCGUAAGCCGCAAGGCAUCUGUGAAGGUGCUGCAUGGUUGUCGUCAGCUCGUGCCGUGAGGUGUCGGCUUAAGUGCCAUAACGAGCGCAACCCUUGUUGUCAGUUACUAACAGGUUCCGCUGAGGACUCUGACAAGACUGCCAUCGUAAGAUGUGAGGAAGGUGGGGAUGACGUCAAAUCAGCACGGCCCUUACGUCCGGGGCUACACACGUGUUACAAUGGGGGGUACAGAGGGCCGCUACCACGCGAGUGGAUGCCAAUCCCCAAAACCUCUCUCAGUUCGGACUGGAGUCUGCAACCCGACUCCACGAAGCUGGAUUCGCUAGUAAUCGCGCAUCAGCCACGGCGCGGUGAAUACGUUCCCGGGCCUUGUACACACCGCCC
rnacentral:rRNA from 1 species